GUUGGAUUAUUGUCCGCAGAGCUCCCUGAAGACAAAUCAUCUGAAUCUCUUUGCCUGCGGGGACAUCGCAAGGCUGUUGAAGAUGCAGAUGUUCAUCUGAAACGAAGUGGGUGACAUACCAGCAUUAAUAAUGGAUGGCCAAACUAAUGGAGCACUCUGUAGCGUUCAGAACACUUGCGGCCUGAAUUUGAUAGUGAGUGAGACGUCAUUCGCAAUCGGACAACGCAUAGGAAUACCCAUGCACUCGAUGCAGAUUGAGGUAGGUUCUACAGGCGAGAUAUUAGGAGACCAGGGCUCAAACGAGCUCCAUACAGUGUUCGCAGUCCAGAGCUUGCAGGAACUUGUGUGCCGCGCUGCGGUGAAUUGAUCUGAAAUUUGCUUUUAUAGGCAAAACCAUGGAAAAGUAUGACGAGUGAAAAUAUUUAGUUUCUCGCUCGGUUGUGAAAGUAUCUGGUAACUGAUAAUAUAUCAUAGCAUCCAUAUAAAUGCAGCCACUACCACAAUCAUUUCAUCUGACACGAUGUUUAGUUAAGUUCUAAUAAUUUAGUACCAUUAAGUACCAUAAGGUUAAAUUUUUGUUUGUUGUUUAACACCGCACACAGCACUAUUCCGGCUGUAUGGGGGCGGUCUAUAAACAAUAAAAGCCUUUAAAAAGGCAACGUUGGAGGCACCUGGGUAAAUUAAGAAAUUAGUGAGAAGGACGUGAGAUGAUUUGGGGUGAAGCUGAUUUAAAGAGCACCGCGAUGACCAUAGCUCAAGACGUACAACCAAGCGUAUCAAUGACCCAAAUCACUAGACCUACAACCAAGAAUGUCAGUCAUCAACCACUAGACGUACA